GACGAACGCUGGCGGCGUGCUUAACACAUGCAAGUCGAACGGAAAGGCCUCUUUCGGGGGGUACUCGAGUGGCGAACGGGUGAGUAACACGUGAGUAACCUGCCCUUGACUUUGGGAUAACUUCAGGAAACUGGGGCUAAUACCGGAUAGGAGCUCCUGCUGCAUGGUGGGGGUUGGAAAGGUUCGGCGGUUGGGGAUGGACUCGCGGCUUAUCAGCUUGUUGGUGGGGUAGUGGCUUACCAAGGCUUUGACGGGUAGCCGGCCUGAGAGGGUGACCGGCCACAUUGGGACUGAGAUACGGCCCAGACUCCUACGGGAGGCAGCAGUGGGGAAUAUUGCACAAUGGGUGGAAGCCUGAUGCAGCAACGCCGUGUGCGGGAUGACGGCCUUCGGGUUGUAAAACGCUUUCGCUCAUGACGAAGCUUUGUGUGACGGUAGUGGGUAAAGAAGCACCGGCUAACUACGUG
rnacentral:rRNA from 1 species